GAUGAGCGCUGGCGGCGUGCCUAAUACAUGCAAGUCGAGCGAACAGACGAGGAGCUUGCUCCUCUGACGUUAGCGGCGGACGGGUGAGUAACACGUGGAUAACCUACCUAUAAGACUGGGAUAACUUCGGGAAACCGGAGCUAAUACCGGAUAAUAUAUUGAACCGCAUGGUUCAAUAGUGAAAGACGGCUUUGCUGUCACUUAUAGAUGGAUCCGCGCCGCAUUAGCUAGUUGGUAAGGUAACGGCUUACCAAGGCAACGAUGCGUAGCCGACCUGAGAGGGUGAUCGGCCACACUGGAACUGAGACACGGUCCAGACUCCUACGGGAGGCAGCAGUAGGGAAUCUUCCGCAAUGGGCGAAAGCCUGACGGAGCAACGCCGCGUGAGUGAUGAAGGUCUUCGGAUCGUAAAACUCUGUUAUUAGGGAAGAACAAAUGUGUAAGUAACUAUGCACGUCUUGACGGUACCUAAUCAGAAAGCCACGGCUAACUACGUG
rnacentral:rRNA from 1 species